AGCGAACGCUGGCGGCAGGCCUAACACAUGCAAGUCGAACGGAUCCUUCGGGAUUAGUGGCGGACGGGUGAGUAACACGUGGGAACGUGCCCUUUGGUUCGGAACAACUCAGGGAAACUUGAGCUAAUACCGGAUGUGCCCUUCGGGGGAAGGAUUUAUCGCCAUUGGAGCGGCCCGCGUCUGAUUAGCUAGUUGGUGAGGUAAAGGCUCACCAAGGCGACGAUCGGUAGCUGGUCUGAGAGGAUGAUCAGCCACAUUGGGACUGAGACACGGCCCAAACUCCUACGGGAGGCAGCAGUGGGGAAUCUUGCGCAAUGGGCGAAAGCCUGACGCAGCCAUGCCGCGUGAAUGAUGAAGGUCUUAGGAUUGUAAAAUUCUUUCACCGGGGACGAUAAUGACGGUACCCGGAGAAGAAGCCCCGGCUAACUUCGUGCCAGCCGCCGCAGUAA
rnacentral:rRNA from 1 species